CACUGCAGUUGUCUCUAAUUUCACUCGGCAGGGUAACCGCGUGCUCGAGAUAGGGAAAUGAGGAUACAUUAACUUCGCUUAGAAUUAGACUAUACCGGCUUUGGACGAGGAUAGGCGGAGUAUUUGCGCCAUAGUCUGAGCCUCGAUCACUUCGCGGAUGUUGUGUGUGUGUGUUUUCUUUUUUGCGCGCUAACAUGCGAGUUCACUCAAAUUUCCUCUGCAUAAGUAGAGCAGUUGAAAUAGAUUGUGUGUUUUAACGCCCAGCAAUUGCAGAAUCUGCUAUGGAGGAUGCCACAUAGGUUGUGGAGGGCUCCAGAUUUACUUUGACCACCGGGGUUGUUUUAACGCGCUCCUUACUAUGGGUAAACGUGAUGAUAACAUAGCUAGAGGCACCAAAUUUUGAUUUUCACAUCUAAAUUGUGAUUUCUUUUUAAGGGCAAGCGUUCUUAAGAUUUCAUCGCCUUAAUGCGAAACCGCAGAACUCUGUAUAUAUUUGGGUGGGCCAUCGCUAAGAAUGCAGGCAAAGGCGCACUGAAAACCACACUGUACGCAACUCUUUCACUAACCUUUUCACAUCUUCUCACCCUUAGUGUUCUUCAUGUUUUUUUUUUUAACCUUUGGCGAUGCGUUCCUGCGUAUCUACAUAUUUGUCUGCCGAAAUAACAAAGUCAGUUGUUAGAAACUUAACUAUCGUCCGUCUCGUUAGCGGAGCGCCCACCUAUAAUGCGCACACACAACUAGCCUAUGUCUCCACUUCAACUGAUCGAUCCUACAUAUAGUUACAAACUGAACGCGUUUACAUAAGGUAGAUUCCUGAACCAAAAAGAGAUUGAGAUUGGUUGACAGGGGUGUUGGUUUAUGAUUAUACGAAAAAAAAAAGAAAGAACACAGCUAUAGCCGGGACGGAACAAUAAAAAGGAACAGACGCGUUGCGCAUUCGUGGAAUGCUCCAAGAGGCACGAAGUAUCUCUCUCUCUCUCUCUCUCUCUCUCUCUCUCUCUCUCUCUGCCAAGUGCACAGCACCUGCUUAAUAAGGACCCCAUGCCUUCCCGAAAUCCGGCCACGGACCGAGUCUUUGUCCGCAUCAUCCGGCAGUGCAAUUAAACGCUGCCCGGCCCAACGAGCCGCGCCUGUCCCAUCGCCAGUCUCUCUCUCUCUCUCUCUCUCUCUCUCUCUUACUUUUCCUUUUUUUUUUAUCUCGAGCACUUCCGGACCUCGCAACAGGGCACGAAUUAAGAUACCGCGAUAACAGGUAUAUAUAUAUAUAUCCCCACCGGCACUGCUUCCCAGAAGGCGAUCUCACGGCUUGCCCUGCGGGGCGUGAGCGCCACCUGCCAUAUUCGAGGCUUCCGAGAGCACGCAGCGCCGUCUGCUGUGCAGUGCAGACGAAACGGCUGCACCGUUAAAAAAAAAAAAAAAAGAAAAACUGGCCCUACAGGUUAGUUGCGUGCAGUGCCGCGGAACUCGUUCGAUGAGUUCGUGAGAGUGACUUUUGUUGGGCUACAGUUGGUACAGUCAACAGCAAAAGUUUACGGGAUGCGGUUUCCCCUUCAAAUGUGAAUUCCUGCACUGUUAAUUGCGUGACACUUCGAAUUUAAUGAAUCACUGUGUAGGUGGCGAAGGCUACUUACUAUAUGAGGCUGUGUGACCACGCUUCGCGAGAAUUUAGCUUCCUGGCAGGUCCUGCGUCCCGUAAACUUUAGCGGUUGACCGUACAUGGUUAUGCUAGGAGAAUGACAGCAAACUUGAAAAGGGGAGAAAGAAGAACCGAGAGGCAGACAUAGAGAAAGCGACAGGAAGCUGGCUGAAGUGCGAAGGUGGGAUAAGAAAUGCGACACGCCCGACUUGCGCCGCAAGAAA